rnacentral:lncRNA from 1 species
AGGUAUCUUUGAAUAAAUAAAGAAAAAAAUUACUUAGAAUCCUGGGGAUCAUUUGCAUGCGAUUUUGGAAGUUUAUGGAGGAUGUUGAGGUGAAAUCAUUCCCAUAUAGUAUAGUCUACAAAGCCUGGACAUGAUUACAAGGUGGGGAUACGGUACACAGGUAUACUAUUCUGUAAACCCUGAAUUUGGUAUAAAGCACAUCAUACUGAGCAAAUUUUUAAAUCCCCGC